rnacentral:rRNA from 1 species
ACGGAAGGCAGCAGUGAGGAAUAUUGGUCAAUGGUCGGAAGACUGAACCAGCCAUACCGCGUGAAGGCAGACGGUCCUAUGGAUUGUAAACUUCUUUUGUUCGGGAAUAAAGGAGCCUACGCGUAGGCUUUUGCAUGUACCGUUCGAAUAAGCAUCGGCUAAUUCCGUGCCAGCAGCCGCGGUAAUACGGAAGAUGCGAGCGUUAUCCGGAUUUAUUGGGUUUAAAGGGAGCGUAGGCGGCCUUUUAAGUCAGCGGUCAAAUGUCAGCGCCCAACGCUGGCCUGCCGUUGAUACUGAUGGGCUUGAAUACACACAAGGAAGGUGGAAUUCGUCGUGUAGCGGUGAAAUGCUUAGAUAUGACGAAGAACUCCGAUUGCGAAGGCAGCCUUCUGGAGUGCGAUUGACGCUGAGGCUCGAAAGCGCGGGUAUCAAACAGGAUUAGAUACCCUGGUA